UUUAAUAACAAGAAGAAGAAGAUACGAAAGAAGAUGGAAUCAAACGAUAAUGACAACCAGAACUAUCCAAAUCAUGACCCCAACCAAAAAGAAGAUCAUUCCAUAAAUAUGAGGACUGGGUGGUUCUGGGUGAUUCUAAGUGUUUUAAUAACAGGCUCGAAAGAAGCCCAGUAUAUUGAUACAGACAGGACCCUUUCAUCAUGUCUACCUGUUCACGCCCCUUUUUUUGUCCCCAAAACCGGAACAAACAACCGGAAAGAUGGAGACGAAGAUUUGAAAGAUGAGGAGAACAUCACAACUCAAGACAUCAUUGUCAGUGGCAGAAUAUUGAACAGUGACUCAAAGUGUGAAUAUGGUAAAAAAGAGUAUAUACACAGGUUUGAGAAAAACUUCAAACAUUAGUCCAGCACAGCUUAUGAAAUCAUCAUUAACUUAUUUGGCCAUAUUGCAAGCAACCCUUAUUUGGAAAAGCAUAAUGUCAUCCAGACUUUGAUAUUUCAGAUACUACAUGAAAAGUUGGGAAGAAAAUUAUGUCUGGAAAAUCACAACAGCCCGGUUUUACCAAAGGACUUCAACCGCAGUACAAAAAACAAUAAAACACCUGGGUCAGAGUUAUUUAAGCAUAUAGUGGAAAUGUUUCUACUCACUCUACUCUACUACGGUUUUUAUCAGCCAAUACAAGAUUAUGUGAAGAAAAAUGCUGUUAAUACCAAACAGUAUGCCUUUGCAAUAAUUUGUAUGCGAGAUGGCAGCAAAAGAAGUUUUAAGCCCAAAUAUCCAAACUUUGCUAACCGUAAACACACUCAUAGCGAGAAGUUUGUGAUUGAAGAGCUUGAAGAUUUUAUAAGCCGUAAUGGACCAAUGGUAGAAACUGUUUAUAUUUAUUCUUAUAACAGUCCUUGUUUACAAAGAAAGGGUGGAGUACAGCCUUGUAUGUGUAUGUUGAUGCACAAAGCGGCUGAAUGGAAAGAAAAACAUAACAUCUCAUUAACAGUAGGGUUCACCAAGUUCUGGGUACCAAAAUGUCCAGAUUGGUUUGAAAACCUCAUCUCAACCCUAGACUUUGAAAAAUUUAAAGACUAUAGGUUUAAAUUGGAUCACACCUAUUUAGUUGAUAAAUUUGACAAACCUCUGAUGAACUCCUUGCUAUCACAAGUAGAUAACCGUGAAAGAAGUAAACUGCUUGAAGAAAUCAAAUUCAUUCUAAAAGCUCUGCUGAAACUAGCAAAGGGUCCUGAUAACACCGGACUGAGAGACGAACUGUUGCUCAGAGGAGAACAACUAAUUCAUUCUUGCAAAUUUUCUCCUAUAGUCAGGGAUGAAGUUUGUAGAAUUUUGCUAAAGAAAUGGAGUGAAAUGGUAAACAACAGUUUCGAGAAAGACAUUAAAAGCAAGAUCAGAAAGGAAGUUGGCAUCGCAGUGGUUCUUCUUUUUAUGGACCAGUUAAAGUCAGAUUGGGGAAACAGCUUUCCUCUGCAACUGUACAGUGUAGAUCCAUCACAGCCAAAUGAUAAUGAUGUCCAAUGACAUCCAGUUGUUAGGCCAGGGGUGCCCAAGCUUUUUGCAUCCAUGGGCCAAAGUGAAAAUGUACCAGUGAGCCGCGAAACACAGCGAUUUUAGGGGUGAAACACAAAUAAAUGUAAAUCGUGGUUCUUUUAAUUAUUGUUAAUGCAUGCAAAUGCAUUCUUGUCCUCACUGCAAAAAACACACAAAAAACAUUAAUAUGGCAAAAUAAGAAAUAAAGGCAUAGUUAGAAGGAAAACAAACAAAAAUUGCAGACAGUAAAUUGUAACAAAAUAUAGUGCAAAAUGUCCUCAACCAAAAAAAACUUUUUUUUCUUAAAAAAAGAAAAAAAGAAAAAAAAGAAAAAAAGAAAAUUAAAAAAAAUGAUUCCAGUACAUCUUUUUCUUCUUCUUCUUUGCCUUCUUCUUGUUAUUCAAC